rnacentral:rRNA from 1 species
UGUUACAAUGGCAGGUACAGAGGGAUGCUACCGGGCGACCGGAUGCGGAUCUCGAAAGCCUGUCCCAGUUCGGACUGGAGUCUGCAACCCGACUCCACGAAGUUGGAUUCGCUAGUAACCGCGCAUCAGCCAUGGCGCGGUGAAUACGUUCCCGGGCCUUGUACACACCGCCCGUCAAGCCAUGGGAGCCGGGGGCGCCUGAAGUCCGGGACCGCGAGGACCGGCCUAGGGCGAAACUGGUAACUGGGGCUAAGUCGUAACAAGGUAAC